GCAGGUUUAAUCAUUGGCCUAUCAGUUCCUAGUGGCCCAACUAUUCUAAUUUUGUUUCUCGCCUCAAAGAUAAUAAUUCGCACGCUUAAGCGUCAAAAGGAACAAAAGUUGAGACAAAAGUUCUUCAAUCAAAAUCGUGGACAAUUGUUGCAAAAGUUGGUAUCUCAUAGGUCAGAUAUUGCAGAGAGGAUGAUCAUCCCUUUAAGGGAGCUAGAAAAGGCCACAAAUAAGUUUCAUCCAACUCGUCAAGUUGGUGGUGGAGGGCAUGGUACCGUGUACAAAGGAAUUUUAUCAGACUUGCAUGUUGUUGCAAUCAAAAAGUCAAAUAUUAUGGUCAAGAGUGAGAUUAACGAGUUUAUAAAUGAAGUUUCCAUACUCACACAGAUCAAUCAUAAGAACAUUGUAAAGCUUAUUGGAUGUUGUCUUGAGAUAGAAGUCCCUUUGUUGGCUUAUGAGUUCAUUUCCAAUGGAACCCUAUGUGAUUAUCUUCACAAGAAACCACUAAGAUCUGUACCUUGGCAAGACAUAUUAAGGAUUGCAACAGAAAUUGGCAAAGCCCUUUCUUACCUUCACUCGGGUAUUUCUGUCCCCGUAAUACAUAGAGAUAUAAAGUCCACCAAUAUACUUCUUGAUGAUGCUUUGACAGCAAAGGUGUCUGACUUUGGAGCUUCAAGGUACAUUCCUAGAGAUAAAACAACAAUUACAACAAUGGUUCAGGGAACGUUAGGAUAUUUAGAUCCUAUGUACUUUUAUUCUGGCCGCCUAACAGAAAAAGAUGUUUAUAGCUUUGGAGUUAUUCUCAUUGAGUUUCUUACGAGGAAGAUGCCAAUUAUAUAUAGAUCCUCCACCGGUGAUGGGCUAGUUGCACAAUUUGUUGAACUAAUUGCAGAAGGUAAUUUGGUAGAAAUACUAGAUCCACAAGUAAUUGAGGAGGGAGGUAGACAAGCUGAAGUGGUAGCUUCUCUAGCUAUGUCGUGCACAAAGAUAAGAGCAGAGGAGCGACCAACCAUGAGGUCAGUGGAGAUGACACUAGAAGCACUUCAAGGACCCAAAGAGCAUUUUCGGGUUCGGGAUGCAACACAUGAGGGGAGUUAUUCGCCAAUGAGAUAUACAUCACCAAUAAGAAGGACAAGCUUAGAGGACACGAGCAGGCAAUAUAGUCAAGAAGAAGAGUUUGUGUUGUGUGCGAGCUACCCUCGAUAG
rnacentral:rRNA from 1 species